rnacentral:sRNA from 1 species
UCGCUAACCAAAGUUGACCGUAGCCACCUAAUUGUCUGGCAGGUGACUAGCCCAGACUGAUCUGCCCACUUGCACACUGCCUCCCGCUUUACUUGAAGUGUUUAUUGUUUCCUGUAGAAUUUUUUUUAAACUUUCCCCCGACAGUCUCUUGGUUUUUGUUCAUCACAUUACUAGGAUGUCACCACCAAAUACUAGAUACAGGGAGGAUAACUCUCUUGACACAUUUUGCACUAUUGUCAUGGAAACCUGUAUGUUUGGUUAAAAAACAUAGAAACGUGUGUUUUUUUCUGUUUAAAUUGAAAACAUCUUCUUAAAUAAAGAACACAAUGGUAUACCAUUGCAUAUAAUCUAAUUAUUUCCUCACUAAUAAUAAAGUUUCUGUUGCCAUUUGUUUUAACAUAUCCCUUUUAAAAAGUGCUGGGUCAGUUUGACUUUAAAAAAAAAAGAUUUCUUGAAUAAAAUUAUUAAAUUACACAUUUUCUUCUUCUUUAGUAGAGAAUAUCAGUUUACCAAAAAAAAAAAAGUGAUUAAGAACAUCUUUUUUUUCUCUUUGAGGAGAAACUUUUGUUGAAAGUUUGAUCAAAAUAUUUAAACAAUUUUUUUUAAAAAUGAUUAAUGUUGUAAAUAAAUAUUGAUAUUUAUUUGUAUAAGUCAAGCAAAACUGAGGGAAUUAAUUGUCAUGAUACAACAAAGCAUUUCAGAAACAUGAGUUUGUCUACAUUUCUAUUUCGAUUGGCCGAUACUUUAACACAUAAUACAUCUGUUUGGAAAAUAGUUUUAAGAAAAUUAAAUUUCAGACAGUGGCGUCUCUAGGGUGUGCACUGACCCUCAUGACGCCAUUUUUUUGAAAAUGUAAUCUUAGAUCAAAACUACCCCUGGUAUCUGAAAAUAUUAAAACCAGAACACAAUUUUCUCGCCAAUAAAAUGUGGGCUUCUUUAAAGUUUUUGGGUUGUUCUGUUGAUUGUAGUUUAUGUUCCCUUUCAGCUGUUUUUAUAAUUCAUUUUAACCAUAUCAAAAUGAUGUGGGUACAUUUUUUUUAUAAGCUUGAAACAUUUCAAUGGAAAAAAAAAUGGUGUGUUGAAUGUUUGUGUAAACUUUACAAGGCAAGGGAGACUAUUGCUGAGUGGCAAAAAAGAAUUUUUUUUUUAAAGUGCAAUUGUUUGGCUUUAAAAUGUGAUAACUUGACCUGUCUUUGUGUCUGUAGCUUAUUCAUAAUAAUUUCCUGGUCAAUGUAAAAGUAUACAUGUAUGUAAUUUGUUUACAUAGAUAAGAUAUUGCAUUGAUGUAUUUUUAAAUGCUGUAUGUACUAACUAAAAAUGUAUUGUGCAUUUGUAUUUAUUCAAGAUGACAUAAAUAUCAUUUAUUAUCAAAUCAAUGGCUGUUAAUAUAUUUUGAGUCAUUACAUGACUAUAUUAUUGAAGAUUGGGCUACAUUUUA